rnacentral:tRNA from 1 species
GCGCUGGUGGUGUAAUGGCGUAGAGCAUUCCCGCCCGGUUAGAGGGAGGUGCGGGUUCGAGUCCCUCCUGGCGCU